CCCCAGCCGGGUUGUGCUUUCUUCCUUUGUCCUUUGCUGCCACGUGACAGGUGGGUGAGCGCGCGCGCGGGCUCCGCCCCUCCCCGGCCCGCCCGGGGCGGGCGCGCGCCCCCCGUCGGCUCGACAAAGGCCCGACGCGCCGCGGCCCGCGCCGGGUGGGUGCGCGGCGGGGCCGGCCUCGGGGUCCGGGGAGGUCGUGGCUGGGCUUGGACUGCGGACUCGAGGCGUGUGGGAGUCGUGCUUGGGCGGACAGAGAAACCUGCGUUUCGGUGGCCGGGCUGCGGGGGACAGCCCGGGGCCGUGGCGGGGGCGUCCGGGCGGGCUCUGGGGGCGGGGGCCGCCGGCCGCGCCGGCUGCGGGCUCCGGGUGGGGCUCCGUGGUUGCCUGCGCCUGUGGUGACCGCCAGGGGCGGGACUCGGACGGACGGCGUGCAGAAUUUGAUGAAGAGUGGAACUACAGGAUUACGAUGAAGGUUGUUGCCCCUUCCUUCUGAAGAAAAAUGUGAGAGCUGGUAAAGGGAGAGCUGCAGCAUUAUGCAGGAGGUAAAAAAGAAAAAAAAAAGAAAUUAAAAUGGGCAGAAUUAGACAGUGAAAGAAUUAGGCUUUCAUUCACUGAGAGGAUGUGUUAGAGUUAAAUAUAAGAGUUUAGUUCAGGGGUUGAUUUCUCCUUCAGGGGCCAAUGUUAGAAAACAUUUGUUUAAAUUAGUAAAGUAAAAUCAGCCUAGAGUCUGCAUUGCUCUCAAUAGCAAACUUAUAGCACCACAUACACUUUUAAAUUACCAUACUGAUGGCUUACCCCUGUUGACCUGAAAUUCUUAACCCUGUGUGUUCUCUGUAGAGGCAUUUCCACACAAAUCCCUCUACACUUGAGAAGUGCUCACUGAAAUACAGCUUAAUUUUAUGAAGUAGUCUCUGACAAGAUUAAAAGGGAAUUUAAAAAUUACAGUGUAAAGUUUGGCUGUCUGCUUAAGGAAGUGGCUUGAAUGAGAAAUACAGUUUUAUUCUUUUCAAUGUAAAAAUUUUUAGUGGAAAUGAAGUGAAAAUAAUGCAAAAGAAAUGAUAUGUUUGUUAUAUUUUCCUGAAUUUUUUUUUUUGCGGGUGUAUCUGUGUAUAUUAUUCUUUGUUUUUAACUGUACAGAGAUUUUAUAUUUUUUUAAUGGCUAAAUUUAUUGACAAAAAAUGUUACGGCUUUUGCUCUUUGUAUCCUCUAGUAGGGAAAUUGCCUCCCAAAUUUUACAAAUAUUCAUCUAUAUUUUUUUCAGGCAUUAUUGUGGUUUCCAUUUUUAAUUCUAAUCCACCUGGAAGUAGGCUGCUAUAAUGUGUGAGACAGACAUUUAACUUUAGUUUCUUUCAUAUUCAUUAAGUAAUCUAAUUUUACUCAUGGCUUUGAAGUGUCAUAUUUAUCACAUGCUAAAUUCUAACAUACUCUUGGGACUUUAUUUGGACUGUUACACUUUAUUCAUUUAUAUAUUUUCAAGCCAGUGUCAUAUUCUUUUGAUAAUUAUUAUUUUAUAGUAUAUUUUAAUAUUUUAUUGGGCAAGUUCAUUCUCAUUAUUUUGUAUUUCCAAAAAUAUCCUAGCUAUUCCUGAACCUUUUCCUUCCAUAUGAACUUGGAAUUGUUUGUUAAAAACAAAAAGUUUUUGAGGUUAUGACCAGAGUUGUGUUAAGUAUUAUAGAUAAUUUGGUACUCAGUUAUCUGUAUAAUGUGAAGUCUCCCUAUCCGAGAACAAGACAAAAGUAAACAUUUAUUUAAAUCUGUUUUUGUUAUCUUCAUUGGUGUUACUAGUUUGUUUCAUAUGAAUCUUGCACAUUCCUUUUUAUGUAUAUUCCUAUGUGUGUUAUUCCUAUGUGUGUAUUUGUUCUAUUAUGAGGAGGACUUGAUAUUCUUUCUUUUUAUUUUAUGUGAAAAAGUCUGUUGAUAUUAUAGAAAUAUGUUUAUUGACUGGAAUAAUGUUCUUUAUGUAGUGGGAAAAGUCAAAAACAGUUUUUCAGUAUGACCAUGUGCUUUCAGUUUGGUUAAAAGUUUGAGAGUAGUCUCCACCAUCUCUUAAGACUGUCUGUGGUGUGGUGGGAUGAUAGGCAAUAGCUUUUUGUUUAGCUUGCAUGCAUUUAAGUAUUCUGCCAUAUUUUAUUUUUGCAGUAGUAAAUAUGACAAAUAUUUACUGAUUACAGCGUGUCCACUACUGUUCUGAGAUACAUAUCAUAAUCUAAGAUAUAAUGGAAUUAUUUCUUGGUAACUUGGAGAAAGCUCAAUAUGUGUUUCUUAGUUGGCACUAAAGUUUGAAACACAGAAAGCCAUAGAAGGGAAGCUCUUAAUUUCUUAUCUGCUGCUUUUUAGUAUGAUGUAGAGGUGAGGCAGCCUGUUCAUUUGUUUUAGUGGGAAUAAGGUGACUGAAUUUGUGCAUGGAAAUAAGCUCUGAUUCCAGGAUUUGUGUAUAUAUGCAUAUGGAGGUGCGUGUAUGUUUACACAUACAUACACAACUGACAUCAUGGCUUUUGUCAUAAAUGCCUUGAACAUAGCAAGAAAUAAAAUUCCAAUUCUGCUUUUUAAUAGCUGUGCAAUUAUGAACACUCCCUAAAUUAAGUCUGUUUUCUUUCUGUAAAAUGGAGAUUAAGUUAAAUCCCUUAUUGGGUGGUCUGUGAGGAAUAAACCGUAAAGUGCUUAUUAUGUUGCCUUGCAUAUAGCAAACAUUCAAAAUGUUACCUAUUGUUAUUACAGGGCACUAUGUUAAUCAUUUUCUUUUUAAGUCUUGUUUAACCCUCACAAUCCCACUUUGAGAUCCACUUCAUCCUCACUGUAUUAGCAAAUAAAGCAAUGGAGGCUCAGAAGGCAGGAAAGGAGAAAAACAAGAAGCAGUAAUAUAAGAACCAUAAUAAAUAAAAGUGUAUUGGUUAAAAUACAAGCAUUCUCAGUUUGGAUUUUUUAAAGAAUUGGACUCUAAGCUGCCUUUAAGGGACAUCUAAAGUGAAACUGAAAUUUUAAUGUAAUGAGAUAGUGGAUCAUACACCAGGCAAAUACUAACCUAAAGAAUGCUGAUGUUGCUAACAACAUCUAAGAAAAUAGAUUUUAAGGCAAAAAGGCAUUAUUUGGGGUAUAGAGUGACUAAAGAAGCAAUUCCCUAGAAAUACAUAGCUUCUCUGCACCAAACAAUAUAACUUUGAACAUCUAAACCAAGCUUCAACAGAAUUACAAGGAAAACUGACCUAUCAAUAAUCAUAUUGGAGAUUUUAACAUACCUCCUUCAGAAAUUGAUAGAAUUGGCAGGCAAAACUAAAGAACAAUAUAGAAGAUUUUAAUAGGAAAGUAAGGCUUGGAAAAAUGCAGUUUUUCAGUAAAUGAGACAAGAUUGAUUGAAACUCAAAUCCAUUUUAAUGCAUACUACGUAAGCUUUCCAG
ensembl:lincRNA